GUCAAUGGAGAGCAGAAACUGUAUCGGGAUUUACUUUUUUCACACUUAAAAGGUGAAAAUGUGUGUCUGCAUUGGCCGGGAAUCGAACCCGGGCCUCCCGCGCGGGAGCCGAAAAUAGUUAAGCUUAACUUCCCUUAACUUUUCCCAUUCAUUCUCUAUGGUAGUGCUUAUCACUACGGAUGCAAUAUAUGUGUGGCCACGCGUAGAUUUCGUGGCGCUGUUUCGCCUCUUCCGUGGCGGGGAAUUCAAACAGCGGACAGUCAUCUGUCAAUCAUUCGCUGUGAAGGAGAGGAGACGCGUCUUACGAGCGGAGAUUUCUUCACAAAAUUGUUUUGUUUGAACAACAUACGCCGCUAAACUACCUCGGCUUUAACUAUUACGUAAUUGAUAUGUUAUUUGUUGCAAGAAGUCUUAGGAUUAUACCUCAAUAUGUGUUUUUUGUUUGUUUGUUUGUUUUUUUACCUCAGAGAUCAGCGCGAUACUCUCACCAAGCAGGAAUGUUUAGAUGAUGCAUGCUCUGACAAGAAGAAGCAUCCCACAGAGCAGGUCACCCCAAAGACUGUCUCACUUCACCAUAACAUCACACCAGGCACUUUGACAGUGAAGGAUCAAAGAACACAACACCAUUAGGCCAUAGCUGCGUCCCCCCAUUCAGCUUGCACUGGACCCCUCAGAACGGGUGGCCUUUGUGUUGGACCAUAAAUGGACAGAUCUGAUGAGAACUGCCCAUGAUCCAAGCUCUUGAUUCCGUAAAGUUUUUGAUUCGAUUUCGAUUAAUUUGGUCCAUUUUGCUUUGCAUAUUCUUAUAUAUAUAAAUUUUUUUUUUUCUUCUUCCUGUGUUCUCUAUAACUUUAAAUUGUUUUAUUUUUACUAUUAUUGUAGUUGUUGUUGUUGUUGUUUAAUCUAAAAUUUUAAAUUAAUUUAUUUCCAUUUGUUAAUUUAAAUACCAGAAGUAUUGUUUGCACUGUACUUUAGUGUGUUUUUUAAAUUAAUUGUAUUGACUUGCAUUGUUAUUUUAUCUUGCUCAGUUUUGUAAACACUAAAUGUUAGUAACUGCUAUUAUUAAACUCUGUAAAUAAUUAUUUAAUUUAAAAUACUCUACCAGUCAAAUGUUUUUCAGCAGUAAGAUUUUAAUGUUUUUUUUAAAGAAGUCUCUUCUUAAUAAUAAUAAUAAUAAUAAUAAUAAUAAUAAUAAAUGUUACUUGAGCAGCAAAUCAUCAUAUUAGAAUGAUUUCUGAAGAUCAUGUGACACUGAAGACUGGAGUAAUGAUGCUGAAAAUACAGCUGCACAUCACAGAAAUAAAUUACAUUUUACAAUAUAUUCAAAUAGAAAGCUGUUAUUUUAAAUAGUAAAAAUAUUUCACAAUAUUAUUGCUUUUACUGUAUUUUGGAUCAAAUAAAGGCAGGCUUGGUGAGCAUUAAAAUUCUUACUGUUCAAAAACAUUUAACUGGUAGUGUACAUUGAUUCUUGUUUUACUGUAUUUUGGAUCAAAUAAAGGCAGGCUUGGUGAGCAUUAAAAUUCUUACUGUUCAAAAACAUUUAACUGGUAGUGUACAUUGAUUCUUGUUUUUUUUUUUUUUUUUUCUGUGUUCUCCACAACUUUAGAUUUUAUUAUUGUUGUUGUUGCUGUUGUUGAAUCUAUACAUUUAAAUAGUUUCAUUUAUUUCCCUUUGUUAAUUAAAAUACCAAAAGUAUUUGGCCUUGUUUGAACUGUAUUGAACUGUGUAAGUUUUUUAUUAUUAUUGAUUGAAACAUGUAUACAUUUUGUUGAUUAUUUUUUUAUUGAUAUUGCAUUUUAUUGACUUGCAUUAAUAUCUUGCUCAGAUUUGUAAACACAAAAUGUUAAUAACUGUUACUAUUAAACAUACAUAAUUAUUUAAUGUCACAAAUAUUUUUCUUGUUUCUUUUUUCUUAGUUCUCCACAUCUUUAUUUGUA
rnacentral:lncRNA from 1 species